rnacentral:tRNA from 1 species
CAAUAGGUGGCAGAGUGGUCGAUUGCGGCGGCGUGAAAAACCGCAGGGCUGAAAGGUUCCGGGGGUUCGAAUCCCUCCCUAUCC